rnacentral:rRNA from 1 species
CGACCGGCGCACGGGUGAGUAACGCGUAUGCAACUUGCCUAUCAGAGGGGGAUAACCCGGCGAAAGUCGGACUAAUACCGCAUGAAGCAGGGAUCCCGCAUGGGAAUAUUUGCUAAAGAUUCAUCGCUGAUAGAUAGGCAUGCGUUCCAUUAGGUAGUUGGCGGGGUAACGGCCCACCAAACCGACGAUGGAUAGGGGUUCUGAGAGGAAGGUCCCCCACAUUGGUACUGAGACACGGACCAA